AGCUUGGAUAAGCUUUCCCAGUCCCGAUCCGGGGAAAAGGGGAGGGAAGAACCCCACCUGCCAAGAUGUGCUGGGUCCCAGAGAAACUUAGGCACGGCACGUGACUCAGCUCCGUUCCUUCUACCCUGGAUCUGGGUGAGUCUAGUUAAGUCCAUCCGCAGGCCACCAGAAAGCCAAUUGGUGUCCUCCUCCCUCUUCCUCCAGGAAUCUAGAAUUUGAAUGAACCUCAGAGGCAUCUGGUCCAAUCCUCUCAUUUUACAGAGAAGAAAACUGGGCCUCAAGGAUAUUAAGUGAUUUGCCCAAGGUCACAGGGGUAGUAAAUAUCAGAGGUAGAAUGUGAACCCAGGUCCUCCUCUCUCUCCUAGUCAGAACACAACCUGGGCUCGAUUCAUGUACAGACAAACCUUGGGUUUUUGCACUUCACUUUAUUGCACUUUGCAGAUAUUGCACCUUUUAAAAAUUGAAGGUUUGGGGCAACCCUGCAUUGAACAAGUCUAUUUUCUCAACAGCAUGUGCUCACAUUGUGUCUCUAUGUCACCUUUUGGUAAUUCUCUGAACAUUUCAAACUUUAUCAUUAUUAUUUCUGUUGUGGUGAUCUGUGAUCAGUGAUCUUUGAUGUUACUAUUGCAAUUGUUUUGGGGUGCCACAAACUGAACCCAUAUA